AUUAAAUUAUUGUAUUGAACACGAGCCAGUUAAUUGACAAUCGCCGUUUAUUUACUAUUUAUUACUACCGACUAUAACGAGACCGCCAUCAGAAAAAUUAUGACGCUGGCGUCGCGGACUUUCGCGGUUAUUCGCUUCGUCGCUUUGUGUCCGUUAUAUACUUAGUAGUGACUCGUCAGUGUACCCAAAAAAUCUUGUCCGGACGCGAAAUGAGUUUGAAAGCUGCAGUAGGCCUUUUUCAGGCCCAACAACGAGAAUUUGAAAAUUACCAAUUGAAGACCAAGAUGGGGCUUGCCAAACAUCAUUCAAUUGCCAAUAUAGUGCACCCAUUGUCAUACCUUCGCCAACUUCGUUAAAUAAGCUUUUCAUUUGACGGUAUUUCCAAGUUUUUAGAAAUCAAGAGUUUCAUGAAAUUAUACCCUUGAGGCAAGUGUUGGCGAUGCUUCAUAAAAGAACUGUCCAAUUGCAAAUCACUGAUAUUUUUAGUAGCUUGCAUUAUAGUGUAAAUUGAAGGUAAUGCUUGAAAUCCAUAUUCAGAUGCAAAUCUUGUCACUGGAUAUUGAUUGAUAUCCCAACUGUCCCUCAAGUAGUUGUAGUAAUGAACUAAAAUAAAUUAAAAAAAAUAUGUAUCAAAGAUAAA